rnacentral:piRNA from 1 species
UAGCUAGAUGGGGAAGAGAAGUGAAGU